UUAAUGAUCUGUUUUCUGUAACGGGUUGGAUCCGACGCCUCUUGAAGGCUACUAUAGGCUCUCCUCCCCAACUCCUACUCAAUAUGUCCGCGGCGUACAGAACGGUAACUUGUCGCCUAAAUAUCCAAGCUUGGGUACACGGGGAAACCCACCCCCUUGGGCGGAUGGGCGACAAGGCCGAAUUGAGAGGG
rnacentral:ribozyme from 1 species